GUUAAUUAAUUAAUUGUGUGGACAUUCAUGCAGAGAUCAGUCACUAGUCUGGUGGCCACACGGCAUUUGACCACUGGAUAAAAAUAUAUUUUUAAUUUUAAAAUGUGUUUUCUCAACAUUUCAUCACUGCAUCAACUACUGAUGAACAUAAUAUUUUUUUGAUUGAUCAUUCAGUAGAUUAUUUAACCAUGUAUCAUUAUGUAUUUGGAAUGCUUUUCUUCUUCUUCUUCCAAACACAUUAAAAUGCACAAAUUCACAUUAUUUUUUAUUUAUCUGAAAUAGAAAGCUUUUGUAACAUUAUCACUACCAUUCAAAAGUUUGGAGUCAGUAAGAAUUUUUUUUUUUUAAUGAAAGAAAUGAAUACUUUUACUCAGCAAGGAUGGAUUAAAGUGAUCAAAUGUGACAGUAGGCCUAUAUAGACAUUUAUAAUGUUGCAAAAGCUUUAUAUUUCAGAUAAAUGCUGUUCUUGUGAGCUUUCUAUUCAUCAAAUAAUCCUGAAAAUAAAAUUGUACACAACAGUUUUCAACAUUGAUAAUAAUGAGAAAUAUUUUUGAGCUGCAAAUAAGCAUAUUAGAAUGAUUACUGAAGGAUCAUGUGACACUGAAGACUGGAGUAAUGAUGCUGAAAAUUCAGCUUUGCAUCACAGAAAUAAACACAGUUAUUUUAAAUUGUAAAAAUAUCUCACAAUAGUACUGUUUUUGCUGUAUUUUGGAUCAAAUAAAUGAAGCCUUGGUGAGCAGAAGAGACUUCAUUUAAAAACAUAAAAAAAAUCUUACCGUCCAGAAACUUUUGACUGGUAGUGUAACUUUGUAAUCACUGAUUGUAACCCAAAUGAAUUACCAUGCUCCAGGAUAUUUUUGGUGUGGCUUCUCUUGGCUAACAAACAGUGGUCCAGCCUGCACAGCCCACCAAAGUAAAACACGAGAUGACACCACCACUGUCCUUUGCUCCCUCUUCACGAGCUGCUGGCACAGGUCCCAUCAAGGCAGGCGGUCUACUUUUUGUCCUGGACCAUUUUCGGUGGACACAGCCCAUGAGUGAUUCUGGCAAAGUACCAUGGGCAGAAAGACCUUCUCACUCAGGUGGAUGCAGAGUAUGCUGCCCUUGUGCAGGCUGCCUCCAGGGAUCCCAAUAGCCUCUUACACCCCACCACAAAACAGCAUAUCUCAUGUU
ensembl:lncRNA